AUGCCGAGACACAGCCGUUGCCGCACGCCCGCAAGUUGCACCCCCCUUGGGCCAGGUCCCCACCUCAUCCUCCCUGGAUGCUCCGGGUCCGCACUCCGCACGCUGUCCCCAGAGCGAGAUCGAGGAAACCCGCGUGGGAACGCGGAGCUGGCUGGCAAGGCUGAGCUCGCUCGGGGCUCCUCGCUUCUGUCGCUAGCCCAUCACCGCUCCUCCUCCUCCUCCUCCAUCGGCCACAGACCGCGGAGGAUCAGCGCGCUCCUCUUCCCGGAGCCCAGAGACCAGCCGAGGAAAGUUGCUGCCCCAAUUUGCGGGAACGUCUCCCGCAUUCGUCCUCUGGUCGGAUGCAAAAGUCGGGGGCAGGUGGAGGAUGCAGACAGAGGAGGCGAAAAGGGGAAAGAAGGCGAACGGAGGAGAGAGGGUACCGGAUACUCCUGCCUGUCUUAGUCCUAUUUGAUUUUCAAGUCACACUCAUUCUACACAUAUGGCAUUGGAAAGGUGUAGCAUCAAAAUCUUAAAUAAUAAAUUGCUGUUAUUUGCUUAUUAUUAAGGAGGGAAGGAUUGAGG
rnacentral:lncRNA from 1 species